rnacentral:rRNA from 1 species
AUUGAACGCUGGCGGAAUGCUUUACACAUGCAAGUCGAACGGCAGCACGGGGCAACCUGGUGGCGAGUGGCGAACGGGUGAGUAAUACAUCGGAACGUGCCCAAUCGUGGGGGAUAACGUAGCGAAAGUUACGCUAAUACCGCAUACGAACUACGGAUGAAAGCGGGGGAUCGCAAGAACGCGUGCGAAUGCAUCGGCCGAUGUCAGAUUAGGUAGUUGGUGAGGUAAAGGCUCACCAAGCCAACGAUCUGUAGCUGGUCUGAGAGGACGACCAGCCACACUGGGACUGAGACACGGCCCAGACUCCUACGGGAGGCAGCAGUGGGGAAUUUUGGACAAUGGGCGCAAGCCUGAUCCAGCCAUUCCGCGUGCAGGAUGAAGGCCUUCGGGUUGUAAACUGCUUUUGUACGGAACGAAACGGUUCUCUCUAAUACAGGGGGCUAAUGACGGUACCGUAAGAAUAAGCACCGGCUAACUACGUGCCAGCCGCCGCGGUAACAC